CGCGGGGUAGAGCAGUUGGUAGCUCGUCGGGCUCAUAACCCGAAGGUCGCAGGUUCGAGUCCUGCCCCCGCAA
rnacentral:tRNA from 1 species